rnacentral:misc_RNA from 1 species
UGCAUCGAACUGCUUCCCUCACUUUCGAUCAGUGAUUGCUCCACGAGAUAAACAUUGGACGCAAGACAUGGGUUCCUGUGUUGCAUACCUAUUGCGACGGAAAUGUGUGCCUUCGAUCGUCCCUCUUCCAUCACGGCGUCCUCACGGAUGCUCGGUUGGACCGGAUAGUGGGGCUCGUGUUCCACGAACGUCGUCUCAUUCGAUCGUUCGGAUGGACCACGGGUGCCCACUCGUUCUCUCGGAUGCGGAACUCUCUUAAUGGGCGUGGGGUCAUUGGCCCUUGGUCCCUAAUCGUUAAGCGUUUAUCGCUUCACCGGAAUGACGAUCUCGCCUUGUCCUUGACCACGCGAAGCCCUCGGGCAUCGCGACGGAUCAAGUCGGCGCACGUCGAGAAAGAAUGC